rnacentral:rRNA from 1 species
UACGGAGGGGGCUAGCGUUGUUCGGAAUUACUGGGCGUAAAGCGCACGUAGGCGGCUUUGUAAGUUAGAGGUGAAAGCCCGGGGCUCAACUCCGGAAUUGCCUUUAAGACUGCAUCGCUAGAAUUGUGGAGAGGUAAGUGGAAUUCCGAGUGUAGAGGUGAAAUUCGUAGAUAUUCGGAAGAACACCAGUGGCGAAGGCGACUUACUGGACACAUAUUGACGCUGAGGUGCGAAAGCGUGGGGAGCAAACA